CACAGGUGAUGACACACCAAGCACAGGUGAUGAGAACACACCAAGCACAGGUGAGAACACACCAAGCACAGGUGAUGACACACCAAGCACAGGUGAUGACACACCAAGGACAGGUGAGAACACACCAAGGACAGGUGAUG